GAAAAGGAUUUAAUAAAAUCCAUUCCCAUUCCUUAAAAAGCAAUA
rfam:Struthio camelus australis contig48271, whole genome shotgun sequence.